AAAAAAAAAAAACAACUUAUAGUAGGCCCAUUAUUUCAUUCUAUCGAAAAAUUCCAAAACAAAAUCGGACUUUCCCUUGGUUUCCUUGACCUCAAUUUUCUCAGGAACCAAACAGAAUGCCAAUAAAGAAACUUGUAAAUUUUGCAAUUGAGGACACCAUGAAACACAAUAAAAAUUAAAUCCAAACAAACACAACAAGAAGACAGUAAUCAGA
rnacentral:misc_RNA from 1 species